rnacentral:rRNA from 1 species
GGUUGUCGUCAGCUCGUGUCGUGAGAUGUUCGGGUUAAGUCCCGCAACGAGCGCAACCCUCGACCUUAGUUGCCAGCAUUCAGUUGGGCACUCUAAGGUGACUGCCGGCUAAAAGUCGGAGGAAGGUGGGGAUGACGUCAAAUCAUCAUGCCCCUUAUGACCUGGGCUACACACGUGCUACAAUGGGCGGUACAAAGGGUCGCGAACCCGCGAGGGGGAGCCAAUCCCAAAAAGCCGCUCUCAGUUCGGAUUGCAGGCUGCAACUCGCCUGCAUGAAGCCGGAAUCGCUAGUAAUCGCGGAUCAGCAUGCCGCGGUGAAUACGUUCCCGGGCCUU